CAGAGGCAGAGGAGGGAGCUAGGAGGUGAGACCCGCUCCACCCUGCUCGCCUAGGCUCGGCGGAGGCUAAGAGCAGGGCAGCCUCCUCUGCCCGGCGCCCGCUGAGCCCCGGCAUCUGGAACUCAGGGCCCUGGCGCUCCAGGGGCGGGAACUGGCCGGGAGGACCGCGCGGGAGAGCACGGAUGGGCACCCUGGGCUCGAUUGCAUUUGACCUACCUCAGGAUAUCCAAAGGAGAACAGAGGGAAGUGAGGGGUUGAGAACUGACACCCUACAACGCCAGCACCUCAGUGGAAAGGAGGAAUAGAGCCCAGGAGGGAUGUGGGGCUUCUCACCUGGGGCGGGUGGGUUCUGCACCACCCUCCCACCCUCCUUCCUCCGUGUGGACGAUAGAGCCACAUCCAGCACCACGGACAGCUCCCGGGCGAUCCCAUGGGAGUAGAAGAGGUGUGAGCAGGUUGCCCAGCUGGUUAGCGGAAAUGCCAAGAUCCAGGCUCCUGAAUUUCAGCCUGGCCCUUUCUAUCUGUCUGAUACCUCCUUUACGAGUCUCUCUGCCUGCGUUGUGUGGAGCGGGCCUGCUGCUGGUUGGGGGAGUUUGCAGGUUGCCCCUAUGCAAAAAAGGACAGGAUGCAUGACUGGCAUGUAAGGUGUUCAGGAAAACCAGGAAAAGCCUUCAUCUCCUCGUCCUCCAGGCAGCACAAGCCAUUGUGGAAUCUCCACCAGGUGUACAGAACGGUGCCUCUGCGUCCUGCCACUCAGGACCUCUCAAGUCCCCGAUGUGAUGGCUCCUCAGCAUGAUCAGGAGAAAUUCCAUGAUCUUGCUUAUUC
rnacentral:lncRNA from 1 species